GUGGGGAAUUUUGGACAAUGGGCGCAAGCCUGAUCCAGCAAUGCCGCGUGCAGGAAGAAGGCCUUCGGGUUGUAAACUGCUUUUGUACGGAACGAAACGGUCCUGGUUAAUACCUGGGGCUAAUGACGGUACCGUAAGAAUAAGCACCGGCUAACUACGUGCCAGCAGCCGCGGUAAUACGUAGGGUGCGAGCGUUAAUCGGAAUUACUGGGCGUAAAGCGUGCGCAGGCGGUGCUGUAAGACAGGCGUGAAAUCCCCGGGCUCAACCUGGGAAUUGCGCUUGUGACUGCAGUGCUGGAGUACGGCAGAGGGGGAUGGAAUUCCGCGUGUAGCAGUGAAAUGCGUAGAUAUGCGGAGGAACACCGAUGGCAAAGGCAGUCCCCUGGGCCUGUACUGACGCUCAUGCACGAAAGCGUGGGGAGCAAACAGGAUUAGAUACCCGUGUAGUCC
rnacentral:rRNA from 1 species